AGAACGAACGCUGGCGGCAUGCCUAACACAUGCAAGUCGAACGAGACCUUCGGGUCUAGUGGCGCACGGGUGCGUAACGCGUGGGAAUCUGCCCCUCGGUUCGGAAUAACAGUUAGAAAUGACUGCUAAUACCGGAUGAUGACGAAAGUCCAAAGAUUUAUCGCCGAGGGAUGAGCCCGCGUAGGAUUAGCUAGUUGGUGAGGUAAAGGCUCACCAAGGCGACGAUCCUUAGCUGGUCUGAGAGGAUGAUCAGCCACACUGGGACUGAGACACGGCCCAGACUCCUACGGGAGGCAGCAGUGGGGAAUAUUGGACAAUGGGCGAAAGCCUGAUCCAGCAAUGCCGCGUGAGUGAUGAAGGCCUUAGGGUCGUAAAGCUCUUUACCCGGGAUGAUAAUGACAGUACCGGGAGAAUAAGCUCCGGCUAACUCCGUGCCAGCAGCCGC
rnacentral:rRNA from 1 species